rnacentral:misc_RNA from 1 species
UCCGGUUUGUUUCCGGCGGUCUCCCUAGAUUUGCAACUAAGGACAAGGGUUGCGCUCGUUGCGGGACUUAACCCAACAUCUCACGACACGAGCUGACGACAGCCAUGCAACAUCUGUCUAUCCGUCCUUGCGGAGGACUGGGUUUCCCCAGUUUGCGAAUAGAUGUCAAGCCCUGGUAAGGUUCUUCGCGUCGCAUCGAAUUAAACCACACACUCCGCUGCUUGUGCGGGUCCCCGUCAAUUCCUUUGAGUUUUAGUCUUGCGACCGUACUCCCCAGGCGGGCCACUUAAUGCGUUAGCUGCGGCACGGAAGGGGUCAACACCCCCCACACCUAGUGGCCAUCGUUUACUGCUAGGACUAC